rnacentral:rRNA from 1 species
GAUGAACGCUGGCGGCGUGCCUAAUACAUGCAAGUCGAGCGAACGGACGAGAAGCUUGCUUCUCUGCUGUUAGCGGCGGACGGGUGAGUAACACGUGGAUAACCUACCUAUAAGACUGGGAUAACUUCGGGAAACCGGAGCUAAUACCGGAUAAUAUUUUGAACCGCAUGGUUCAAAAGUGAAAGACGGUCUUGCUGUCACUUAUAGAUGGAUCCGCGCUGCAUUAGCUAGUUGGUAAGGUAACGGCUUACCAAGGCAACGAUGCAUAGCCGACCUGAGAGGGUGAUCGGCCACACUGGAACUGAGACACGGUCCAGACUCCUACGGGAGGCAGCAGUAGGGAAUCUUCCGCAAUGGGCGAAAGCCUGACGGAGCAACGCCGCGUGUGUGAUGAAGGUCUUCGGAUCGUAAAACUCUGUUAGUAGGGAAGAACAUAUGUGUAUGUAACUGUGCACAUCUUGACGGUACCGAAUCAGAAAGCCACGGCUAACUACGUG